CAUGCAUUUCGUUGUUUACUUAACAUUAUGCAUUUUUUAUCACUAAAAGCCGUUUUGUGGCCUAUAGAUGUUUGAAUACUCGUUAAUUUUUUUGGUCGUAACGGUUGCAUAGAUGUCGUUUUGGGGAAUCAUACCACGUCUUCUUACCUUUUUUCAUAUACAUAUUUAUACAGAAGAAGAAGUAUUAUUAUUUCUUAUUAAAGAUACACAAAAAAAAAAAACUUGUAACCACGA
rnacentral:lncRNA from 1 species